rnacentral:rRNA from 1 species
UACGGAGGGUGCAAGCGUUAUCCGGAUUCACUGGGUUUAAAGGGUGCGUAGGUGGGCAGGCAAGUCAGUGGUGAAAUCUCCGGGCUUAACCCGGAAACUGCCGUUGAUACUAUUUGUCUUGAAUAUUGUGGAGGUAAGCGGAAUAUGUCAUGUAGCGGUGAAAUGCUUAGAUAUGACAUAGAACACCAAUUGCGAAGGCAGCUUACUACACAAUUAUUGACGCUGAGGCACGAAAGCGUGGGGAUCAAACAGG